rnacentral:rRNA from 1 species
CAGUAGCCACGGGAAUACGUAGGGUCCGAGCGUUGUCCGGAAUUAUUGGGCGUAAAGGGCUCGUAGGCGGUUUGUUGCGUCGGGAGUGAAAACCCAGGGCUUAACUUUGGGCUUGCUUUCGAUACGGGCAGACUUGAGGCAUUGAGGGGAGAACGGAAUUCCUGGUGUAGCGGUGGAAUGCGCAGAUAUCAGGAAGAACACCUAUGGCGAAGGCAGCUCGCUGGAACGUUACUGACGCUGAGACGCGAAAGCGUGGGGAGCAAACAGGAUUAGAUACCCCUGUAGUCCCUGUCUCUUAUAC